CACAGGCCAUUCAAUGCUAGUUAAAGUGUCAGGACUUGACAAGAGGCUUAGUAUGAAGGAGAACACUUUCAGGGGACCAAGUCAGAGAUAAGUCUGCAACCACAGCAAUGGCCCUUUAGAAAGCAUUUAAGAGGCCUGGUGCUUUUUGAGCUGCUUUGAUGACGUGGCAAUGGCUGGAGGGGAAAAGCAGCGGCACAGCUGCCUGCCAUUGGCCUGGUCUUUUUCACUGUGCUCAGUGUUGUCAUCACGAAGCCUCUCAUGCAGCGCGAUGUCAGGAUGGGCCCAUGCGCGGGUGGAAGGCAUGUGGGGGCCAUGUUGCCAGCUGCGGAUGGACAGGCUUCUGAUAUCAGGCUGUGACAGCACUGUCAUCUCCCAAGAAUCCAGCAUCCGUCUGCAUGGAUUGCAUGCCAUCCUUGAAUCCACUCACUUGCCCAGCCCCUGAACCAACUGAUGAAUGUGGUGAAGUCUUCCCUUCGUCACCCCAGGUGCAGCCACAGCCUCUGCAGCCACCCUGGGGGAGAGACAGCUCCAGCAGGACCUGCUAAGGUGAGGUGUUCUGGAAGGGUCUCUGCUCCUAGCAGUCACUGGCAGCUUGCCCAAAUUGGAGAAGUUUAACAUCUCUUUUCUCUGAGAAGUAAAAUGUGUUUCUUUGGUGGAUGUGAAACCAACAAACCACUGUGGUGCCUCUCUACAUCUGAAGGAUGAGCCAGCCAAGCCAGGGGAACUGACGACCCCACACACGUCUGCACUGCUGUGGCCGUGUUGAACACGGACUCCUUCUUCAGGGCAGCCUUGGGCCAUCGGAGGGCUGCUGUAUGCAGUGACGGCCACCAAGUGUCCUUGGCCAGGGGAGUGAUUUACAGGGACUGAGAUCCUGACUUGUGACCCAGACACGAAUGCAUCCUUGUUCCAUUUUGUUAUUGCUCAACCGUCAUCUGGCCAUCCCCAAAGCCCACCUCUGUGAGAAAGGCCAGUGCUUGUCCUCGUGACACCCCUGAGACCUCGAUGGAGCAAGUCCCAGGGCCCAUCAUACAUUUUUAAAGAAAAUCUUCUUUUGGUGAGAAGAUCAAAGGGCCAGGCAGAAAUGGAAAAGCACUUUCUGGCAUCAGACUUCCUCUGACUUCUCCGGUUGCCACACCACUGAAAGACUGCCCCACAGUGCGAGGGACGUCCACAUCUGCCUGGCUCUCCGAGGGAUGAACAGCCUUCAGUUCAGCUUCCUGUCACACCCCAAAAUCCACCAGGGCUCUGCAGUCAUAGAGCCCUGGAACCCAGAGGUGGAAACUUAAAGGAAUGAGUGCUCUCUCGCUCCAAAACCACAGAUAUCUGGUCCAUAGAGAACCCACCACACUUGUAUACAUUUUCAUACGUCUGCGCACAUACACAAAUGCACAAACACAUGUUCAGCUGUUGAUAAUCAUCUGAUCUUUUGCUCUUUCGAUGUAAAUAUGGCCAGAUAUCUCUGGCUUUAAUUCUCAUUAAAAUUUUGAAAGUUAUACUUUC
rnacentral:lncRNA from 1 species